rnacentral:lncRNA from 1 species
CAAUUUAAUUGUUAGAAUUUGAAUGCCUUAGCGCUCUGUUGGUUCCCACGAGUGCAUAAAUGAUUGACAUAAGUAAAUUUUAUGCAUAAAGAAACUGUUUUAGAAGCUGUUUUUAAUUCCCAGGUGCAGAAAAUCGCGCACUUUACCAGGAGAUAUUCCUAACUAAAUUCUAAUACAUGCACCUUGUCAAUAUUUUACGCAUCAUUACGUCCAGCUGUUUGGUAGGGCAUUCAAAUUUAACAAUAAGUGAUUUCAAUAGUUUUCGUUUUUUUUUGGGACACCCUGUACAGG